UACGUAGGGUGCGAGCGUUGUCCGGAAUUAUUGGGCGUAAAGAGCUUGUAGGCGGUCUGUCGCGUCUGCCUGUGAAAAUCCGGGGCUCAACCCCGGACUUGCAGUGGGUACGGGGCAGACUAGAGUGUGGUAGGGGAGACUGGAAUUCCUGGUGUAGCGGUGAAAUGCGCAGAUAUCAGGAGGAACACCGAUGGCGAAGGCAGGUCUCUGGGCC
rnacentral:rRNA from 1 species